rnacentral:rRNA from 1 species
AUUGAACGCUGGCGGCAGGCCUAACACAUGCAAGUCGAGCGGUAGAGAGGUGCUUGCAUCUCUUGAGAGCGGCGGACGGGUGAGUAAUGCCUAGGAAUCUGCCUGGUGGUGGGGGAUAACGUUCGGAAACGGACGCUAAUACCGCAUACGUCCUACGGGAGAAAGCGGGGGAUCUUCGGACCUCGCGCCAUUAGAUGAGCCUAGGUCGGAUUAGCUAGUUGGUGAGGUAAUGGCUCACCAAGGCGACGAUCCGUAACUGGUCUGAGAGGAUGAUCAGUCACACUGGAACUGAGACACGGUCCAGACUCCUACGGGAGGCAGCAGUGGGGAAUAUUGGACAAUGGGCGAAAGCCUGAUCCAGCCAUGCCGCGUGUGUGAAGAAGGUCUUCGGAUUGUAAAGCACUUUAAGUUGGGUAGGAAGGGUAGUAACCUAAUACGUUGCUACUUUGACGUUACCGACAG